GGCGGGUCCGCCCGCCGAUUGGACAACAUUCAAACCCUUUGCAGUUGCAAUCAGCGUCUGAAAAAACAUAAUAGUUACAACUUUCAACAACGGAUCUCUUGGUUCUGGCAUCGAUGAAGAACGCAGCGAAAUGCGAUAAGUAGUGUGAAUUGCAGAAUUCAGUGAAUCAUCGAAUCUUUGAACGCACAUUGCGCCCCUUGGUAUUCCAUGGGGCAUGCCUGUUCGAGCGUCAUUUGUACCUUCAAGCUCUGCUUGGUGUUGGGUGUUUGUCUCGCCUCCGCGUGUAGACUCGCCUUAAAACAAUUGGCAGCCGGCGUAUUGAUUUCGGAGCGCAGUACAUCUCGCGCUUUGCACUCAUAACGACGACGUCCAAAAGUACAUUUUUACACUCUUGACCUCGGAUCAGGUAGGGAUACCCGCUGAACUUAAGCAUAUCAAUAAGCGGAGGAAAAGAAACCAACAGGGAUUGCCCUAGUAACGGCGAGUGAAGCGGCAACAGCUCAAAUUUGAAAUCUGGCGUCUUCGGCGUCCGAGUUGUAAUUUGCAGAGGGCGCUUUGGCAUUGGCAGCGGUCCAAGUUCCUUGGAACAGGACGUCACAGAGGGUGAGAAUCCCGUAC
rnacentral:rRNA from 1 species